rnacentral:rRNA from 1 species
AUUGAACGCUGGCGGCAGGCCUAACACAUGCAAGUCGAGCGGAUGAAGGGAGCUUGCUCCUGGAUUCAGCGGCGGGCGGGUGAGUAAUGCCUAGGAAUCUGCCUGGUAGUGGGGGAUAACGUCCGGAAACGGGCGCUAAUACCGCAUACGUCCUGAGGGAGAAAGUGGGGGAUCUUCGGACCUCACGCUCUCAGAUGAGCCUAGGUCGGAUUAGCUAGUUGGUGGGGUAAAGGCCUACCAAGGCGACGAUCCGUAACUGGUCUGAGAGGAUGAUCAGUCACACUGGAACUGAGAACCGGUCCAGACUCCUACGGGAGGCAGCAGUGGGGAAUAUUGGACAAUGGGCGAAAGCCUGAUCCAGCCAUGCCGCGUGUGUGAAGAAGGUCUUCGGAUUGUAAAGCACUUUAAGUUGGGAGGAAGGGCAGUAAGUUAAUACCUUGCUGUUUUGACGUUACCAACAGAAUAAGCACCGGCGAACUUCGU